UCAUCUUUCAGCAAGAUAAUGACCCUAAGCACACAGCCAAGAUAUCAAAAGAGUGGCUUCAGGACAACUCUGUGAAAGUCCUUGAGUGGCCCAGCCAGAGCCCAGACUUGAAUGUGAUUAAACAUCUCUGGAGAGAUCUGAAAAUGACUGUGCACCGACGCUCCCCAUCCAACCUGAUGGAGCUUGCGAGGUGCUGCAAAGAGGAAUGGACAAAUGGACCUCCCAAAGAUAGGUGCACCAAGCUU